GAUGAACGCUGGCGGCGUGCCUAAUACAUGCAAGUCGAGCGAACUGAUUAGAAGCUUGCUUCUAUGACGUUAGCGGCGGACGGGUGAGUAACACGUGGGCAACCUGCCUGUAAGACUGGGAUAACUUCGGGAAACCGAAGCUAAUACCGGAUAGGAUCUUCUCCUUCAUGGGAGAUGAUUGAAUGAUGGUUUCGGCUAUCACUUACAGCUGGGCCCGCGGUGCAUUAGCUAGUUGGUGAGGUAACGGCUCACCAAGGCAACGAUGCAUAGCCGACCUGAGAGGGUGAUCGGCCACACUGGGACUGAGACACGGCCCAGACUCCUACGGGAGGCAGCAGUAGGGAAUCUUCCGCAAUGGACGAAAGUCUGACGGAGCAACGCCGCGUGAGUGAUGAAGGCUUUCGGGUCGUAAAACUCUGUUGUUAGGGAAGAAUAAGUACAAGAGUAACUGCUUGUACCUUGACGGUACCUAACCAGAAAGCCACGGCUAACUACGUGCCAGCCGCCGCCGUAACAC
rnacentral:rRNA from 1 species